rnacentral:rRNA from 1 species
UACGUAGGCAGCGAGCGUUGUUCGGAGUUACUGGGCGUAAAGGGUGUGUAGGCGGUUGUUUAAGUUUGGUGUGAAAUCUCCCGGCUCAACUGGGAGGGUGCGCCGAAUACUGAAUGACUCGAGUGCGGGAGAGGAGAGUGGAAUUCCGGGUGUAGCGGUGAAAUGCGUAGAUAUCCGGAGGAACACCGGUGGCGAAGGCGGCAUCCUGGACCGGCAUUGACGCUGAGGAGCGAAAGCCAGGGGAGCAAACGGG